UACAGAGGGUGCAAGCGUUGUUCGGAAUUAUUGGGCGUAAAGCGCGUGUAGGCGGCUUUGCAAGUCGGGUGUGAAAUCCCUCAGCUCAACUGAGGAAGUGCGCCCGAAACUGCAGAGCUUGAGUACCGGAGAGGAUGGCGGAAUUCCCCAAGUAGAGGUGAAAUUCGUAGAUAUGGGGAGGAACACCGGUGGCGAAAGCGGCUCUCUGGGACGGUACUGGACGCUGAGACGCGAAAGCGUGGGGAGCGAACAGG
rnacentral:rRNA from 1 species